CCGAGAAGAUUCUUAGUAUUCCGCUAGCAAAAAAACCACACGAUGAUUUCCAAGUCUGGAGCGCUGAAGCGUCGGGUGAGUUCACAGUCAGGAGCGCCUAUAAACUAUUACAAAACACUGAAAAUAAUCCUAGAGCUUAUGCUUUACAAGAUGACUAUAAGGACUUCUACAGGAAGCUAUGGCUUCUUGAUCUUCCUUCAAAAAUAAAAAUUACAGUUUGGAAGAUCUCUUGGAAUUUCCUAGCAACUCGGGUUAAUAUGCUUCUUAGAAGACUAAUAAACUUUUCAGUGUGUCCUCGGUGUGGAUCUGGAUCUGAAUCUAUGGACCACCUUUUUCGUGAAUGCCCUGUUACAAUUUCAGUGUGGAAAGAGUUAUCAUUUUAUAAGUAUAUGCAAGAAAAUCAGUUGGGGUUUCUUCAGUGGUUAAUCUGGGUUUUUAAACAAAGCUCGGCAUUUCAGUGUCGGACCUUCUGUGUUGCUGUAUGGGCCAUCUAGGGUGAUAGGAAUAACAGACUGCAUAAUAAAG
rnacentral:lncRNA from 1 species